ACAUUGCUAACUGGUGGUGGAGCAGCUUUACGCGGCCUUGACCAGUCAUGUCUUCAGACAAAGUCCAAGCCGCCCGAAUUUUCAGGCGGCUUUUUU
rfam:Spinacia oleracea cultivar SynViroflay scaffold69468.con0025.1, whole genome shotgun sequence.